rnacentral:misc_RNA from 1 species
UUUUUUUGUUUCGAUAUUUCGUUACAUACUUUAACUAAUGUUUAAAAUGAAGCCGCAUUUAAAAGAGCAUCACUUUCGAUCCGCUCAAGAAAACGCCAUCAAGUGCACAGUGUUAGAAGUGGAGGUCAGGCUCUACCGAAUAGACGCCCUAAAAUUCACUAAUGAUCCUUCCGCAGGUUCACCUACGGAAA